rnacentral:rRNA from 1 species
GCUUACGGCCAUACCACCCUGAGCGCGCCCGAUCUCGUCUGAUCUCGGAAGCUAAGCAGGGUCGGGCAUGGUUAGUACUUGGAUGGGAGACCGCCUGGGAAUACCAGGUGCUGCAAGCU